GAGUCGAACCCUGGUUUCACGGACGGAAGGCGCCGCAAACCAGCACGAGCUAAACCGGCUACCACUUUGAAAGGCGCUUUUAAAUAAAAUCUGGACCUUGUGCCUCAGGGUCAGUUUCACCCUGCGACCCACCGCUUCCUUCACGCUCUCUGCAACCCCAGGAAGACAGAGGAACACGUCAUUAGGACAGUGGCAGCCCUGGGCGUCGCGUUACAGCUCAUGGCUACAUGCGUGAUGAAGGUUUAGAUGUGGGAUCAGCUUCCGUGUCUGACGCAGAAGAGGCCAGUGGAUAGCUGGCCAAGGGAUUUCUUUUGAGUUUCUUCAGGCCUUCUAGCAUGCAACAUACAGCAAGUUCACAUUUAUUGUGGGGAAUUUGUGUUUUCACGUUGUGCACGUUCAGUACAUUUGUGCUCACCGCUGUGCUGCUUCUCACCCUGACACACAGAAUCAACAUUGCAAUCAUCCAUGGAAAAAAAAAAGCACAUGCAGCCACUGGUGCAUGGAGUGCGAACACAUGCUUCAGAGCACCACGAGGUCAGGAACAUUUGGAGGAUUCCAGCAGCACACGCAGCUGGCCCAGGCAGGAAGCAACUACACAAACACAGCGACGGGCCCGUUUGUGACUUUUUGUUGGUGCGCUGCAGACAAGCACCGCCACAGGGCUGACUUUUUACACUGUGUGUCAUCUUGUGAGCGAAGAAUCUGCUCAGUUUUGAAGUGGUGGAAAUGUAACUUUAAAGAAAACCAGCAGGACACUUGUUUUCACAACAGAAGAGGAUUUUUGAAUGGAAGUGAGUUGUGUAAUGUAGUUACUGUCAGCAAAACGGAGAAAAAAAACUAUCAGAGAAAAAGAGAAGGGUCUUCAAUAAGUUUGGUAUCUUUCAUUAAGACUUUAUUGUUUCUAGGACAUUUUCGGGAUGCUUGUAUUUCAGAAGUAGUAGAGCGAUUGCGCUCUACUGUUUAUGUAGAGUUUGAAGGAAUGGACAAAGUGGGGGAGAGUAAAGAAUGAAGUGGAGCUGAGAGAAGAACGCGAGCAAACAGUCAAAUGUGGGUAAAGAGAUCUUAAUAUUGAGCUGAAGAAGGUGUGGGCCCGCCUUCAUGACAUCAUGGAGUCUCAGUCCUCCCUGAAACCAGACACACGAUGAUGUCAUGAGGGGGAUGAACACAGAACGGCAUGAAGCAGCACAGGGCCUGAUCAAAAACACAUGCACCGCUCCCUGCAAGCUGCUAUCAACGCAGAAAUGACGAAAGUCCAUCAAGAGCUCAAAAACCCUCCGGAUUAUGUUUAUGGACAGGGUUGGCCAGAAGAAACACAACUCCCCAAGAGCAAAACAGCUAUAAAUUCAUUAGAACGUGAAGAUCAGCAAAAGAAGACCAUCGGUGUCCAGGAUCCCCAACAGAGUUAUCAUCCAGUAAGUCUAUAAGACUAAAAAACACAGCAAAUAUGGCGUGCUGUCUUUCCCUAUUCCAUACACUAGUGUUAAAUGAUGUUUCCAGACUGUAGUAAACUUAGCUUUAGUUCAUAACAUUUUUAUGACAGGAUCCACCAUAAAACUACCAGUGACGGUAGAGCCGAGUACUGCAGUUGUGGAGUUAUUUGUGACAGCGGGAGUUUCCCAGGUGGAUGGAAACCUCAUGCAAGAACCUACACAACAAUUAUCCCAGACGACUUCAACUUAAGCCUAAGUCACAUGCACCCAUACAGUGGGGGAUGACCUGUCCGGCCUGUGGAGGGUCAUAGUCAGGACUGGAUGCAUCUGAAGGGGAGCGCAGGUGUGUCCCUUACUGACCAUGCGCUUAUGCUUGCAGGUGAUACGGUAAGACGCACAAACUACGGUCUGAUUUCUAACCGACAGGCUGCACAUAAGGGGUGCGCACUUCUCACUUGAACAAUACUAACGGGUCCCUUGCACAGUGUGCAGGGUAUGGGGGUUUUGAGAAAAUUUAAAAUUACCCAUUUCACAAGUGUUUGCUACGACCUGUCGACCGCACCACAAACAUUUUUGCCCUACAGACUUACUUGGCAAUAACAGGUUUAGUGAUCCCUCUUUUAUCGCGGAGAAUAUGUUCCACAAAUAUCCAGAGAUGUGUGAAAUUCGCAAAGUAGGAUUCUUAAUGUUUUAAGGCUGUAAAGUAUCUACACUUUUCUCAAACAGACAUGAACGUUUUUGAACUUUUCUCUCGUUAAAACUCUCAAAGUUCAAACCUUCACAGAAAAAUAAGUCCAGUAUUGAAGAGUCGAUUGAAAAGGUCUACAGCCAAUCAGUGUGCAGAACACAGUGUGCUGUAAAAAGACAGGGAAAAAAGGCAUGGAAAACCGCAAUAAAAAAAA